ACUGACUGACAGAUACGCUGAGUGCCAGAGCUAUCAGGCGGGAAACGCCCCCAUUUCCGCUACGUCACAGGUGUGCGGGCAGAUCCGCAGGAUGUUUUCUCCCCCUCGAUGAUGUGAACAGCCCCCCCAUAGUCUGCCUCGGUUAGUAUGCCCUGCCGCCUAGUGGGUGACCCUGAUGGGACUAAGACAGUGACUACCCGCACCAAUACCCCUGUGCUAGGGUAGCCAGUAACAAAGUACCGAUGAAGCACGGCUAUACAAAACUCAACAGACACCUUGACACCUCUGUAAGAUUCUACUCUGCGGAACUUGCAGCCACUAGAUGUCGCUGAAAAGCCUUAAAAAGCAGCCCAGAGCGAAUGAAAUAAAACAAGUACAUUGCAACAACAAAUAUGGACUGACACGUUCACCAUAAUUUCCUCGGUUCUCCAGACUCAUGUUGCUCCAGACCCAUGGGCAGCGCUAUUUGGCAGACGCUUACAGCUUUCCAGACAUCACAAUAAAUUAGCUACACAAAUCUGCUCCGCCACACGAUGUGUUUUAGCUUCAAUGUGGAAGGGCUCAGGCCCUCAUCGAUCAGCGCUGGAGAGGAAAAUAUGGUGGAUUGCUGCUAACGAAAAAAUUACAUACCUGCUGAAGGAUAAGCUGGACACUUAUGACCUAAUAUGGAAUCCCUGGAUUACUAAAGAUGACCCCAUCUAGUCUGUUCAUACCACACUGUAUGUGAUAUAUCUCUACUCUCUGCUUAUAUAGGUAAUUUGACUUGAUGACACGGUGACGACAGAACAUGUAUGCAACAUAUGUGUGUUUUUUUUUUUUGGUUUUUUUUUUGCUCUUUCUUUUCUUUUCUUUUAUUACUUUUAUAUUGUUUUAUUGUAUGUUGUGACACAGGUUUGCAAAUUACGACUUUUCACUGGCAUUUUGUAUAUGAUGUUGAACCUGAAUAAAC